AUUCAUCUGACGAGUCCUAAAUGGAGCGAAACGCGCGUCGUGGAU
rnacentral:hammerhead_ribozyme from 1 species